ACGGAAGGCAGCAGUGGGGGAUAUUGCACAAUGGGGGAAACCCUGAUGCAGCGACGCCGCGUGAGUGAUGCAGUAUUUCGGUAUGUAAAGCUCUAUCAGCAGGAAAGAUAAUGACGGUACCUGACUAAGAAGCACCGGCUAAAUACGUGCCAGCAGCCGCGGUAAUACGUAUGGUGCAAGCGUUAUCCGGAUUUACUGGGUGUAAAGGGGGCGCAGACGGCAUGGCAAGCCAGAUGUGAAAGGCAGGGGCUCAACUCCUGGACUGCAUUUGGAACUGUCAAGCUAGAGUAUCGGAGAGGUAAGUGGAAUUCCUAGUGUAGCGGUGAAAUGCGUAGAUAUUAGGAGGAACACCAGUGGCAAAGGCGGCUUACUGGACGAUAACUGACGUUGAGGCUCGAAAGCGUGGGGAGCAAACAGGAUUAGAUACCCUGGUA
rnacentral:rRNA from 1 species